AGAGUUUGAUCCUGGCUCAGGAUGAACGUUUGCGGUGCGCCUUAUGCAUGCAAGUCGAACGAAGUUGUGGUUUUCGGACUGCAACCUAGUGGCGAACGGCUGAGUAGUAUGUAAGUAACCUACCUCGAAGUGGGGGAUAACCUGCCGAAAGACAGGCUAAUACCGCAUGUUGUAAUCAGGCAUAUGUUUGAUUAUUAAAGCUGCAAAGUGCUUUGAGAUGGGCUUGUAUCUGAUUAGCUAGUUAGUAGGGUAAUGGCCUACUAAGGCGAUGAUCGGUAGCUGGUCUGAGAGGAUGGUCAGCCAGAUGGGGACUGAGACACGGCCCCAACUCCUACGGGAGGCAGCAGCAAGGAAUUUUGGGCAAUGGGCGAAAGCCUGACCCAGCGACACCGCGUGAGAGAAGAAGGCCUUCGGGUUGUAAACCUCUUUUCUUGGGGAAGAAUUCUGACGGUACCCAAGGAAUAAGUCUCGGCAAACUACGUGCCAGCAGCCGCGGUAAUACGUGGGAGGCGAACGUUAUCCGGAUUUACUGGGCAUAAAGCGGGUGUAGGCGGCUUUUUAAGUCAGGUGUGAAAGUUUCUGACUUAAUCAGAAAGAGUCAUCUGAUACUGGAGAGCUUGAGGGCAGCAGAAGGAAAUGGAAUUCCCAGUGUAGCGGUGAAAUGCGUAGAUAUUGGGAAGAACACCAGUGGCGAAGGCGAUUUUCUAGGCUGUUCCUGACGCUGAGGCCCGAAAGCGUGGGGAGCGAUGCGGAUUAGAUACCCGCGUAGUCCACGCCUUAAACGGUGGACACUAGAUAUGGAAGGUAUCGACCCCUCCCGUGUCGAAGCUAAUGCUUUAAGUGUCCCGCCUGGGGAGUACGGUCGCAAGGCUAAAACUCAAA
rnacentral:rRNA from 1 species